AGGUAGCACAAAAAAGAUUUAGUGUAGAGAGGACAAAGCUUAGAAGAACCUCUGAAUAUCGAAAAAGUUAUUGACCACUAGGAACAAGAUUCGGCACAUGCCCAAAUGCUGAAAAUUCAACUGAUUUUACACCUGCAUGUCUCUGAAAUCAAACAAACAGCUUUUUCUUAACUGGGGGCUGAGGAAAAAAGUGUUUGGAACACUAUCCAAAAGUGCUGUUGGAGGCCACUUGAAGAAGGAAGAAAGGAUUGGGUUAAAGUUUUCCACGGAGAUUUUUAUUAUCACACGAUCAAUCAUCCAACUGUAGCAACGCACGAUACAGAGGUGUGAGAAACAUGGCUUGGGAUGGACAAU